UACGGGGGGUGCAAGCGUUGUCCGGAAUCAUUGGGCGUAAGGAGUUCGUAGGCGGCAAAUCAAGUCCGGUGUUAAAGGCGCAGGCUUAACCUGUAUAUGGCACUGGAUACUGGUUAGCUAGAAUGCGGUAGAGGUAAAGGGAAUUUCUGGUGUAGCGGUAAAAUGCUUAGAUAUCAGGAAGAACAUCGGUGGCGUAAACGCUUUACUGGGCCGUUAUUGACGCUGAGGAACGAAAGCCGGGGUAGCAAAU
rnacentral:rRNA from 1 species